GUUUCGAUUUGCUGUGGGCAAAUGAAGUGAAUGUGCGUGUCGACACCACCUGCCGUGACAAUCCGCCCUUCAGCCGCGAUGAUCUCGGUACCCGGCCCGAUGACGAGACGCGGGUCGAUACCUUGCUGUGUGUUGGGGUUGCCGGACUUGCCGACCGCCACGAUCCGGCCGUGCUUGAUUCCGAUGUCGCCCUUGACGAUCCCCCAAUGGUCGAUGAUGACCGCAUUGGUGAUGACAAGGUCGCAGUGCGCAGGGCUCAU
rnacentral:sRNA from 1 species